rnacentral:rRNA from 1 species
GACGAACGCUGGCGGCGUGCUUAACACAUGCAAGUCGAACGGUGAACCUCUUAGGAGGGGCUUAGUGGCGAACGGGUGAGUAACACGUGGGCAACCUGCCACCGGCUCUGGGAUAACUGCAAGAAAUCGGGGAUAAUACCGGAUGUUCAGCGAUUACCGCAUGGGUGGUGGUGAAAAGGGUUUACGGCUGGGGGUGGGCCCGCGGACUAUGAGCUUGUUGGUGGGGUAGUGGUCUACCAAGGCCACGGCGGGUAGCCCACAUGGGAGGGUGACCGGCGACCCUGGGACUGCGGCACGGCCCAGUCGCCUACGUGAGGCAAUGGGGGGGAGUCUGGCGCAGUGAGCGGACGUCUGACGCGACGGCGCCGCGAGCGUGAUGACGGCCUACGAGUUAUAAACCUCUUUCUACAUAGACGAAGCGCAAGUGACGGUACCUACAGAAGAAGCACCGGCCAACUACGUG